rnacentral:rRNA from 1 species
UACGUAGGGGGCUAGCGUUGUCCGGAUUUAUUGGGCGUAAAGAGCUCGUAGGCGGCUUGUCGCGUCGAAUGUGAAAUCUCAGGGCUCAACUCUGACAUUGCAUUCGAUACGGGCAGGCUAGAGUUCGGUAGGGGAGACUGGAAUUCCUGGUGUAGCGGUGAAAUGCGCAGAUAUCAGGAGGAACACCGGUGGCGAAGGCGGGUCUCUGGGCCGAUACUGACGUGAGGAGCGAAAAGCGUGGGG